CAGUGUCACAGUUUGUUGUUCAAUAUAUGUUCACAUGUAGUGUGUGUACUUGUUUAGGUUUUUUUUUGUACAGUACCUACUGCAUUACUGUAAAUAUUACCUAGCUGUAGAUAUAUCCAUGUCAUCACUGUACCUGAAUGUUAAAAAACAUGUUAUCAGUGAAGUUUACUCAACUAACAGUGUUAUGUUACUGUACUCAUAAGUAUGCACAUGUAAGUAUGACCAUGUCUUCAAUACAUUGGUGUAACUAUUGUUAUUGUGACAAAUUUUAUUGUUAUUACAUCCAUGUUAUAUUAUGUUUAUGUAAACUAAAGUGCUAUGAGGCCAUGGGGGAUGGAAAGGUGAUGGUGCAGCUGAGUUUUUACCUGCUAUAAGGUUUGACUUUCUGGAGGAGACAACAGACCAGCCCCAAGGCAGCAGAAGUGGCCUGACCUCUAUCAGAAGUUCACUACAUCACACUUUGUUGGGUCACAGUCUACCUCAUUGACCCCCAGCUCUUCUCCACCUCCGUCCUCUGUGAGGAACCUGAGCCCUGCUCUGAACACCAAUCUGGCAGAAGUAAAGUGUUUAUUCAUUGGAUGAGUCUGGAGGAAUUCAGUCAGCCACUGCUGGAGCUACAGCUUCAUUCUGGUUGUUGAUGAGAUGAACAUAAACCAGUACAAACACACUAAAUUUCCAAUUGCACCUCCUGGAAGGCCUUAGCAGGUGGAACCAGGAUCAGGGGCCCCGCAGCAGUGAUCAGUGAGCUGUCGUUUCUCCUCAUCUACUCCGGGGAUAUGGCUCACUGUGAACAACAACAGCCUGAAGGUUGGUUAUUGGGAGGCUGCUGCCACCAUGCCACAACCCAGUGUCUCCUCUGCACUUGAUUCAGGAUCUCCUGAUGAGACUUGGACUUUGGAUGACUCUGGCGUCCCAGGCGUGGACAAAGUUGACAGCUUGGCAGGGUAUCUGAGCUGAGGGAGCAGCCGUGUCACCAACCAGCAGGUUGCUCUGUUACAAAACCUGCUGGACUAUGACAGGUAGAGGGUGGUGUUUGCUGCCAUACACCAGAGGAGGCUGAACACAGGUCUCCUUAGAAGCAGCAGGAGUUCACUCCAGGGAGUGUUUUCACACUCUCCACCACUUAACCUCUUGCCCAAUGGCCAGAUUGCUGCCACCUGAUUGCCCAUCUUUGUCAGGCUUUGUGCCAUCCACCACAGUCCCACAAAGAGGGGGACUGGCACAGUGCUCAGAUUGGAUCUCAUCUUGGAGGACUACAGGAAAAAUCAGGCAGCACAUUCCGACCUACGGGACAGUUCCCUGCUCCGCUCUCUGGCCCUCAGCUGGUGAUGCAAGCUCCAGUGACUUCACAGGUUCCCGUGCUGGUUGUUGCCCCACACUCCUUUGCCCUCUCUCUGGAGUAUAAAACACUGAUGAAUCACCACAGCAAGACAGAUCAGGAGGAUUGCAUCGAGGAGAAAUUUGCGACGUGGCAGCUGUAAACACAUUCUUUGAUAACUGUAGUGAAAGUGGUGCCAUCAGUCACCAGUGGAAGGGUUUGACUUAAUAAUAAUACUUAGCUCUUUGAAAACACUGCAGCAGCUGUUUUAAUAAGCCUUAAAAACCCAGCAGUGCAUCUGAUUUAUAUACAGUGUGUUAUUUAUAUAUAUUUAUAAUACAACAAAACACUUGUAGUGCCCCCCACCCCAAAACAGAUCACCAAAACUCAUUACCAGUUGCAGUACAGAGUUUCAUACAUCAUACAUGGUAGAAGUAGAUGUUAAACUAGUAUUGUUUCAACUUUCAUAUGGUGAUUUGGACUCAGCUGGAAGCAGAACUUGGGGUUAUAACAUUGAAAUGAUACUAAACAUUUUCUAAGGUGACUUGUCAGAUGCAUUGUACGCUGCAAAAAAGCACAGUAAUAAUAUACAGACAAUAUAGUCACUGGUACAUUUAAAUAUUUGGGUGGUUCAUGUCUUUAAUGCCUGCACACACAAUAGUCAAGCAGCUACUGGCUUGAAGUUUGAACGUACAAGUUUAUGGUAUCCUAAUUGUGAGGUAUUUACAUGGUUUACAUCUUUUACAAUCAAUAAUUUUAAAUCAAGACAAAUUUACCUUUUAAAAACACGUUUUAGGUUUCAUCAUCUGUAUCUCAAAUCUGUUUGAGAGGUUUGUUUAUUUAUGAAAAAUGCAAUGCUUAUGACCUGGUCCUUCCCCGCUUCCUCUGUAGCUUGUUGUACGAGCUCUCUGUAACGGCUACAAUUUUUCUUGUGCUUUGUUUCCAAAAAAUCAGUCCUACAUUAAAGAUAAUAGAACAAAAUUUGAUUGAUAUUUGGUUU